rnacentral:rRNA from 1 species
UCGGUCCCUAUCUGCCGUGGGCGCUGGAGAAUUGAGGGGGGCUGCUCCUAGUACGAGAGGACCGGAGUGGACGCAUCACUGGUGUUCGGGUUGUCAUGCCAAUGGCAUUGCCCGGUAGCUAAAUGCGGAAGAGAUAAGUGCUGAAAGCAUCUAAGCACGAAACUUGCCCCGAGAUGAGUUCUCCCUGACCCUUUAAGGGUCCUGAAGGAACGUUGAAGACGACGACGUUGAUAGGUCGGGUGUGUAAGCGUAGCGAUACGUUGAGCUAACCGAUACUAAUGAACCGUGAGGCUUAACCUU